rnacentral:ncRNA from 2 species
UCAGUGACAUUGGGGUGCAUCGCCCGAUUCUCGGGCGCUGCUGAGAUCACACCCAUCGAACCUGCUCUAGCUAGCACUAGCGAAGGAAUUGUCCUUGGAAGACUU